UCACAAUAAUACAUGAAAAUCAAAUCAGUAUUGGGCAUAAAAGAACACAAAAAAAAAACAAGAGAGAGAGCAUAAUCGAUGGUUAGUAGAACUAAGGAAGAAAUUUAGUAGAUGAUUAACCUGUUUGUGGCGUAGUAGAGACGGGCUGAAGUUGAGAAAUGAGCAAGAUCAGAAGAAUCAUUACACAAGCCACAGAACUCCCAAGCUUUCUUGAGUAAAUCUUUGCGUCGUUUUCAAACACUCAUU
rnacentral:lncRNA from 1 species